rnacentral:lncRNA from 1 species
AGACGACCAGGAGUUUCCUCUGCAGACACAUUGUCCCAGCCCAUCCUCCUGUUCUCCCUCCCUCUCACCUCCUCCCUCUCUUCUUUCCAAACUCCUGGAUCAGGGGGAAUCUUAUGAUUCCAACAAACCUGCCUCGACGAUGUCAUAUCAGGCUGCCCUGCCCCAGGGAAGAAAGGGCCGUGACCAGGACCGCCAUCGGUGAGGGAGGAACCAGAAUGCAGCUGCUGAUGGAAAAACACAGAACUUCUGGGAAGAGGAGGCCAGAGGGCGGUCCUGUGAGCAGCUUCCCUUUCAAGCCGGCAUGCAGAAGCGGUCACAGCAUUCCCCAGCCCAACCUUCUAUUUAUUCAGAAACAAAGAGACUAGCCCACGCCAGGCAUCCUUUUCCUG